ACCCUUCUCUUAAGGCUUUAUUAUUAACUGUCUUCUAUUCAUCCCUUUUUUUGCAGGCUAACCCUGGCAAUACGACACCAUAAAAUGGAAAGCAAUUACCCAAAGGAGAGGCCUCCCAGCUGCGGGAAAGGGAUCUCAGUGCUAGAUAUCUUGCAGAGAAUCCUCACAAAACGACAAAUCCCAGGAUUCCACAGGACAGAGCCAUGGCAGUUAAAGUGGGACUGAAACAGUGAUAACGGCGCAGCGCUGACUCUGAACAAUGAUGCGAUCCUUUGCUGAGGUGUGGUGCUAGAACAGUAUGCCGUUUUCUAAGGGCAGUUGGGCCAUAAUGCUCCCUCGUGAUGAGUUCUGGCCAUGCUGGAGAGCAAGUCAUGUUCAAGGGAUAAGGAAACAUUUGCUGGGAAGUUUGAAGAAGCCAAACAUAAGUAAAAUAUCUGAAAGAAGGUCAUAACACCUCCAAGCAUUGUUGCUGUUAUUGUGUACCUUCAAGUUGUUUAAGCAUCGUAGCUUCAUACAAUCCUAAACUUGGAAGGGACCCCAAGGGUCAUCCAGUCCAACCCUUAGAUGAAGACACCAUCCAAGCCCUCCUUGUGACCAAUGGCCACCCAACCUCUGUCUAAAAACCUCCAGAGAAGGAGACCCCACACCUUCCCAGGGAGCAGCAUCUUCCAUUGACAAACAGCUCUACCUUCAAGAAGUCCUUCCUAAUCUUCGGGUGGGAUCUCUUUUCCUGGAGUUUGAAUCUUGUCUUCUUCUGAAGAGUGACAAACAGAUUUUAAAGACCUGGUUGACUGACUGACAACACCAUGCAAAACAUGCUUACUCAAGUGACUUCUAAAUAAACACUUAGUUUAGACUCGUACUAUAAAUCAGGAAUAUGUCAGAAUAUGUUUAAGACCUCAGCUGGAAUCAGAGCAAACCUCUGGCCGGAGGGGAUUCCUGCUGCCUGCUAUUGUCACCUCAGCAAAUACAAGGAAAGAGUCUCUUAAGGCAACCGGAAAAUGUUUUCUGCUUGAGUAGCUUCCUUUCCGGUGGAGGGUUUAUUAGUUGGGCUGAUGACAUUUCUUGUGGCGAUCCUAAUCAGCCUGAAAAAGGAGAAUGUCCUUGUUCCUAAUCAGAAGCUCCUGUUCUCCUUUGCUCUUGAUAAUUUGAAUUUGCAGACAAGUUUAUUCUGCUCUGCAGUAAGGUUUGUGGUAUCAAUUCUAAUGUUUCUUGUGUGAGAUUGCUUUCAUGGUCUAGAAGCGCAAAUACCAGAGAAGCUAAAGCUACAGCGUUUUUGACUUACUGUUAAACACUAAGAAAUAAUGUCUCCCUUUAUUUGAAUUAUUGGUAGAUUUAUAUCAAAAUGUCCAACUCCCUUUUGUAUGAGUGAUGCUUGGCAAGAUGGAAGGCAUCCUAAAGUAUAUAACUGCUUGGUAGAAUGGCAGGCAGAGCCAGCAUGGUAUGUAUAGUGGCUUGUGUGUUGGACUAGGACACUGGAAGACUA